CGGGAUGUUGUGAGUCCGUUGCUGGUCCAUCUGAUUUGUCCUGGCUCGGAGAGUACUAUCAGGGAAGCAAGGACGAGGAAUGAGCCGGGGUCGGGUGAGUAACACGUGGGCAACCUGCCUGUAAGAUUGGGAUAACCCCGGGAAACCGGGGCUAAUACCGGAUAAUACUUUUCGUUGCAUAACGAGAAGUUGAAAGGCGGCUUUUAGCUGUCACUUACAGUUGGGCCCGCGGCGCAUUAGCUAGUUGGUAAGGUAACGGCUUACCAAGGCGACGAUGCGUAGCCGACCUGAGAGGGUGAUCGGCCACACUGGGACUGAGACACGGCCCAGACUCCUACGGGAGGCAGCAGUAGGGAAUCUUCCGCAAUGGACGAAAGUCUGACGGAGCAACGCCGCGUGAGUGAUGAAGGUUUUCGGAUCGUAAAACUCUGUUGUCAGGGAAGAACAAGUGCCGUUCAAAUAGGGCGGCACCUUGACGGUACCUGACCAGAAAC
rnacentral:rRNA from 1 species